GUCUCUUUGGAGACAUUUGAUAAAAAUAGAAUGAUACAGAAAAAAUAAGGUAUGAUCCUCACGCAAGGAUGAAACACAUAAAUAAUUUGAAAUUAGUGUUUGU